UUAUACGGCGAAACUGCGAAUGGCUCAUUAUAUAAGUUAUCGUUUAUUUGAUAGCACUUUUCUACUCGGAUAACUGUGGUAAUUCUAGAGCUAAUACGUGCUGAAAAACCCGACUUCGGAAGGGCUGUAUUUAUUAGAUUAAAAAACCAAUGCCCCUCGGGGCUUCUUGGUGAUUCAUGAUAACUUCUCGAAUCGCAUGGCCUUGCGCCGGCGAUGGUUCAUUCAAAUUUCUUCCCUAUCAACUUUCGAUGCGAGGGUAUUGUCCUCGCAUGGUUACAACGGGUAACGGAGGGUUAGGGCUCGACCCCGGAGAAGGAGCCUGAGAAACGGCUACUACAUCCAAGGAAGGCAGCAGGCGCGCAAAUUACCCAAUCCCGAUACGGGGAGGUAGUGACAAUAAAUACUGAUACAGGGCUCUUUUGGGUCUUGUAAUCGGAAUGAGUACAAUUUAAAUCCCUUAACGAGGAACAAUUGGAGGGCAAGUCUGGUGAACGCAAGCAAGUUCCAUCCUGCUGGCGCCAGAAAUAGCAGCCCUGAAGAGCUCGGCCAGAACCGACUCUCGAACAUGCUAGUCGAGCAUCCACCAAGGGCGGGAGGAUGCCGGCGAGACAACCUGGUUCGGGGAAGGCUAAGGGCAGCUUUGCCUAAUGCUAAUCUCGAAUGGAGUGGUGGGAAAGCGAUUUCCCACCUACCCAUGUAGAGCACGGAAAGGUGUCGGUCGUCCUGCUGUACGCAGGCGGCUUAAGGGACGUGCCACCCCCUUCGAAAGAAGGUUCUUUGUCUGGAGCGCCCGCCACGCCAAGGACAUGGAGCUACCGGUGAUUCCGGUAGGGAUCGUUACAAAUGACCUGACAGCUACUGCCCCGGGGCGGUGGCUCAGGUAACUGGUUCUCGUACCGACAAGUGGCCAGCAGCCGCGGUAAUUCCAGCUCCAAUAGCGUAUAUUAAAGUUGUUGUGGUUAAAAAGCUCGUAGUUGAACCUUGGGCCUGGCUACAAGGACCGCCUCACCGCGAGAUCUUUCCGUAGCCGGGUCUUUCCCUCUGUGGAACCCCAUGGCCUUCACUGGUCGUGGCGGGGAAACAGGACUUUUACUUUGAAAAAAUUAGAGUGCUCCAGGCAGGCCUAUGCUCGAAUACAUUAGCAUGGAAUAAUAAAAUAGGACGCGUGGUUCUAUUUUGUUGGUUUCUAGGACCGCCGUAAUGAUUAAUAGGGACAGUCGGGGGCAUCAGUAUUCAAUUGUCAGAGGUGAAAUUCUUGGAUCUAUUGAAGACUAACUACUGCGAAAGCAUUUGCCAAGGAUGUUUUCAUUGAUAAGGAACGAAAGUUAGGGGAUCGAAGACGAUCAGAUACCGUCGUAGUCUUAACUAUAAACUAUGCCGACUAGGGAUCGGACGAUGUUAUAUUUUGACUCGUUCGGCACCUUUCGAGAAAUCAAAG
rnacentral:rRNA from 1 species